CUUCACUUCCUUUCACUGUCCCUUUCAGCAGGGCUGUUCAUGUAGUUUGAGACUUCACUUUUGGAUAAGUUUUUGCAGAAGCGUGGUUAUUGUUUCUGUUCUUGGAAUCCUCAGAGGGUGCAAGUUCCACAUCCUCCUUGAACAACUCUUCUAAAGCUGUUCUGUACUUGCAGCUUGUGACCCGUUGGACCAGCUGCUUUGCCUGCUCUCACCACCUUUUCUUUUCCACAUGAAUGAAACUCUGAAUUCCUUCAGCAUGGGGAGGAGAGGGAGAAGGCGGCAGUCUCAUCUGGGGAUGACGUUUUGGGAGCAGGCUGCUCCACUCCUCUCCAAAGGAAGAGUUCCUAGAACUCUCUCUUCCAGAGGUUUCUAUGUGCCUCAGAGCUCAGACUUGCACUGCUACCCAGAACAUGUAUCCAUGUUUAAUUCUGUGGCAUGUUUGUUUUUCUGAAAAAAAAAAAAAUCAAAAUGACAAUUCUAUAUUGACCUGAUUUGAUUAACUUAAGAGAAAUGCUACCAUUUAACUUAAUGAGUUCUGUGUUAAAAUUAGGUUUACUGCAGUUACCUUCAUUAUUCCUACACAAUAAUAUUUCAAUUUUGUGGUCUUCUUCUGCCUUUUCCUUCCUUCACAAAACUGCAGUAUUCAAUUAUUUAGUUUUGUUUAAGUUUUGUUUGUUUUGUUUUCUUUUGUUUUGCUAGGUUUGUGAACCAGGAAAUAACAGAUAUGAAUUUAUACAGUUUCCCUUUCCAGAGGUGCCAUCCAGGGCUGUAUAAUUGCUACUGUGGGGGCAGGCUGAGGUUGUGCCUGCCCUUCAGUAACAGUGCAGCAUUUCUCUGUGCAUAUUUAAAUUUACUCAUUUUCUGGGAAAUAUCUUAUUUCCCUACCAUCUGAUGGUCCCAAUAUAAAAUUAAUUUUAUGCAGUUUGUGUGAUAGACCCAGAAAUAUGCAUCUGAAUAAUCUAGCUGCUUUUUAAUAUGUAAACAUUUCAUUAUUAAAAUUAUUAAAGUAAUGUUAUAGGAUUUAUUAAAACUUAUUAAAGUAAUUUUAUAGGAAAAAUAUAGGGGUAACAAUAAGGACUGGGAAUUUGGAAGUGCUUAACUGAAAAUGGAUGCAGAAUGUCUGAAUUAGCACAGGAGGUAAUUUGCUUCUUGUUGUAUUUUCUGGAUUUAUUCUGGUUUAAAUUGACACUUUGUAAUUUUUAAACCACCAUUUGAUGAGUUUUUUGAAAAAUACAGCUGUGGAUUUUAGAGAAAUUCUACCUAUUGUGUCAA